ACCACUCGACGUCAUUGGACGACAAAGUGAGUAACAAGUGCCGUUUUUUAUCUGGCAAUGUCAGAAAAUGGUGGGACAAGCGAAUCGCAAGUCAAUGCCGUGAUUCAUGGCACAAGUGGAAAGAUAGUUUUCUUUAUGCUUUUAAGAGAAAUCUGGUUGACAGAUGGAACGACACAAUAGCUAUUAGACACGGAUAAGGGACAGUCACGGAUUAUUUUUUCGAGAAGAGGCGUUUACUCUACAUUUCCGACCCUAAUAUACGGACUCUGCAAUCCUCCCGCUGAUAAUUCAGGGCAUGACUAACGAAUCGCAAAGAGAGGUUUGUGUACACUGUCCAACCUCCACGGAUCACUUGCUUGCCUUAAGUAUGUGUCCAGCAAUUGUCUGAUUGAUGGUCCCAUCAAAAGGCAUAGUACUCUACCACUGAGCAUUGAUGCACAUGGCGAAACGGUAGAAUAUUUUAAUACCGAGUCCUACCAUUGUGAAAGGAUGGAAAAUGUAUACCUUUUGAAAUCAAAUCCUUUAUUUGUUAAAAUGAUGGUAAAUGGAAAAAAUGUGGACUCCCUGGUUGAUACUGGAGCAUCUGUAAGCCUGGUAAAUCAGCAAGUUGUCCAACCGAGAAAAGUGUAUGAAGGAAGAAUAGUUAGUGUACAUCUAUGAUGGAAAAACUAGAAGGCAUAGAGUUAGUAGAACAACUCUAGAGGAAAAGCUGGGCCGGAAAAGUGGGAACCUCUAGGGCGCCGCCCUGUUGCUACUGGUCAAUGUGGCCAGCGCAAUUACUAUUGAAAGAGCUGAGAACAAGUACAGGUCACCUUAUGCUUUGUCACCUAAAAACGCAUACCUGAUGGCUUUAUGAAGGUGGUACGUUAAUAUUAAGUUUACAGAAAGCGAUCGCUAAGUCCGUGACUUAUGUAAAUCACGAUGUACGCAUUCAUGCAAUAAAGGAUGACGCGAAUUUCGGUUUCGAAUCUGUUUUUUGGAUGCGUAGUAGCUUCGUUUGACAUGCGAUCGCGCGUCGACAUCGGACGCUAUGACACACUCGUGCCUUAUGUGCCACCGAAGCCCCGAAGUGGUCUGGCAUAUACCUUCACAUAUAUGCAAUGGCGAGCCCUUCCGUGCGUUCCAAAGACAAUGCCUAAGCCUAGCCACAGCAGCUCCCUCAUACAGACUCCACAAACCAAGAGGCCGUGGAGGCAAAUGCAAGCAGCCAGCACACCUCGAACAGCCACCUUGACUGCGGGUGUGUCACCCUAGUCGCCAAGGAAACAUUUGAAGGAAAGUGACAGGCAAUGUGAACCGCCACUUCUCCAUGUAAACAAUACUCUUUCUCUCGGAUGACUCCUACGCCUCACCACGCCAGCACACUUGUGCACAAAGAUGCCGCAGAGGCACGUGCAGGUCAGAGGCAAGAAGCAGUGGCACUGGUGUCGACAUUUACCCAAUUUCUUUUUCUUACACUGAGGCAGCCAGCACACCUCGAACAGCCACCUUGACUGCGGGUGUGUUAGUUGAUUCCUGUUGUACAUAUGCUCAUAAUAAACUUCAGUAAACUUGAACUUCAUAAUAAACUUGAAGGCAAAUGGGA